AUGCUUAUUUCAGCAGCACAUAUACUAAAAUUGAAAUGAUACAGAAAAGAUCAGCAUAACCCCCUAUGCAAGGAUGACAUGCAAAUUAGUGAAGCAUGCCAUAUAUUU
ensembl:snRNA U6 U6 spliceosomal RNA